rnacentral:lncRNA from 1 species
CAAUGGGAUUGCACAGUUAUAUUCACUUCCUAAGUUAACCGGAAGUUAAGUCCUUACAAAUUCAAUGGUCUGGAAAAAGGUCAAUAAUUGUCAUCUCAAGUGUGUUAUACUGUUUGAGGGGUAUUCUCAAGGUACGUGAAAGUUGUUUCAUUGUCAAGAUAAAUCAAUUACCGACAGACUGGUGUACUUUUAUUCGUGAAAAAGUCAAGGGAAAUUAAAAAAAUAUUGGUUGAAGCGAACACAUCGAAAAUUUCCGUUAGCUACCUUGUGUUUUUUUUGUACUGGGUAUGGAUAGUAAACCCCA